CUGAUCUCCAUGACCGUGUGAUACUGAUGUCUCACCUUCUCUCCCAUAUGUUAUCUUCAAGUUUUAGUUUUUCUUUUUUCAUCUCUCUUAAAUUAUUUAGAUAGAGUAAAAACUACUUGGUUGGAAUAUUGGACGUUAUUAAGGUUAGUUUUAUAUAUCUAUAUACUGACUAUAUAUACCCAUAUAAGAUACUCGUAUGAUCUCUUAUCAUCUUUUCUUCUUUAAGGUCCAAAGGAAUUGUUUUUAUCUCUUGUUUUGAAUUUCUUUAGAAAUAAUACUUCCUAAUUAUUAAGUACAUGUUAAAACUGACAACAUUAUAUUAUUGGCAUCGUUUUAUAAUUAUUCCAUGUCUUUUGAUUUAUAAAUUUUGGAUCCACGUUUAGUUUGCUUUAAAACUGUGACGUUCUCACUUCCAGAGCAAUCGUUAUUAUUAGCUAGUAACAAUGAAUACAAUUUGUAGUUUAGAAAAAUACAGGUCGAUGAUUAUUUCUUAGCUAGCAUAUAAAACAUCUAUGAGAUUCCGACCAAGAAGUAAUCAUUACGAUUCUAUAAAUUAGAUUUGUUUCCGUUAUCGAUUUAUGCUUUAAGUACGUAGGUUAUCUGAUCAGCAAUAACAUUCAAAGGAAAGAUGACAACAAUUUAGCCUUCGUAGGACAACACAACAUGAGCACUUUACAUAGCCUUUGUAAUUUUUAGCCAAUUUGACGUGGGUUUCGGACUCUUGAUCGACAUUAAUCAUCACCAUGUAACAACAAUAUUAUAAAUUCACGAUUAAUACCAUCAUCUUUCUUUUGCUCUAGUACGAUACUCUUCUUAUGUGCUCCACAUCGUUGGUAGGCUAAAGGUCAGAAUAGUGACAUCAAAACGGACAGUCACGCCAGCAAGCGGAUCGGGCGAGACAAAGAAGAAUAUUGUUGCGAAUAUGACAUACGAAAUAGGUAUAAUUAAGCAAAGGGUGUGGAAUAAAACAAAAUUCUUCUGAGAUUAUAUUAACUUAAGCAUUGGAAUUGUUCUUGAAAUAGAAGUUGUAUUGAUUGAUAAAACUAAUUUAUUAAAUUCUUCAUAUUUAAAAUAUUUCAAAUUAAAAAACCACACUCACACACAUAUACUUAAAUGGCCCAUGUACACAAAAUAUAAGUUUCGAAGAAAAAAAAAAAACGUCAACCAUUCUUAGCACAAAAAUUGUUGAAUGGGUCAUAAAUAUACGCACUUCAUCCACUAUGUUCUGAGUGCUCCAUUGAAGGCCUAAAUAGCUUCAUAUCUUUUAGACGUUGUAAAAAAAAGAAAAAAACUUCGUAUGGACAUAAGAUUUGGGGAAUCGUUAUUAUAUAUCAUUAGGCAUAUCAUAUUCUAUGAUAUAUACGUGUAUAUAAUUUCAGUUGCGUGAUCUUUAUUGUAAUUAUAGUAGAUAUAAACGAUUAAUGGUUAAAGUUUAAUCAAUAAUUAGAUAAACAAUGUUAGAUAAUGGAAACUAAAGUGAGGAAAAAGACGAGGGCACUAACAUGUAAAUGCUGGAAGAGGAAUAUCAUCGAACAAAAACAACAACAACACAGCUCAAUCCUCAAAAUACAAAUAUAAGUAACAUUUUUUUGUGUGUGCAUGUUUGCAUCAUAUAUACGUACAUUUUUGCAUAUUGCGAAUAUCUCACACAAAAAGACAGAAGCAUUUACUCUUAUAUAGCUGCUAUUUUCCCUUACAAAAUUAUUAUUACGAAUUACUUCUGUAAAACCGCGGCAGUACUCUAGUUAUAAUAUAUUGUAAUAUGUCAAAAAUAUCACAUCAUAUUUCUAGUAGUCCUCUUGGACCAUUAAUUACUAAUUAGAACUAUUUCAUUCUCCACUAAAAAUUUUUCUUCCGUACAAGCGAAUAUGUUACUAACAUAGUGCUCUUGGCUUAUGUGUUAGAACUUUACUAAUAUGGUGCUAUUGGCUUAA